rnacentral:rRNA from 1 species
UACGUAGGGUGCGAGCGUUGUCCGGAAUUAUUGGGCGUAAAGGGCUCGUAGGCGGUUUGUCGCGUCGGGAGUGAAAUCCACUGGCUUAACUGGUGGCUUGCUUUCGAUACGGGCAGACUGGAGGUAUGCAGGGGAGAACGGAAUUCCUGGUGUAGCGGUGAAAUGCGCAGAUAUCAGGAGGAACACCGGUGGCGAAGGCGGUUCUCUGGGCAUGUCCUGACGCUGAGGAGCGAAAGUGUGGGAGGCGAACAGG